GGGUUGUGAGGUUAAGCGACUAAGCGUACACGGUGGAUGCCCUGGCAGUCAGAGGCGAUGAAGGACGUGCUAAUCUGCGAUAAGCGUCGGUAAGGUGAUAUGAACCGUUAUAACCGGCGAUUUCCGAAUGGGGAAACCCAGUGUGAUUCGUCACACUAUCAUUAACUGAAUCCAUAGGUUAAUGAGGCGAACCGGGGGAACUGAAACAUCUAAGUACCCCGAGGAAAAGAAAUCAACCGAGAUUCCCCCAGUAGCGGCGAGCGAACGGGGAGGAGCCCAGAGCCUGAAUCAGUGUGUGUGUUAGUGGAAGCGUCUGGAAAGGCGCGCGAUACAGGGUGACAGCCCCGUACACAAAAAUGCACAUGCUGUGAGCUCGAUGAGUAGGGCGGGACACGUGGUAUCCUGUCUGAAUAUGGGGGGACCAUCCUCCAAGGCUAAAUACUCCUGACUGACCGAUAGUGAACCAGUACCGUGAGGGAAAGGCGAAAAGAACCCCGGCGAGGGGAGUGAAAAAGAACCUGAAACCGUGUACGUACAAGCAGUGGGAGCACGCUUAGGCGUGUGACUGCGUACCUUUUGUAUAAUGGGUCAGCGACUUAUAUUCUGUAGCAAGGUUAACCGAAUAGGGGAGCCGAAGGGAAACCGAGUCUUAACUGGGCGUUAAGUUGCAGGGUAUAGACCCGAAACCCGGUGAUCUAGCCAUGGGCAGGUUGAAGGUUGGGUAACACUAACUGGAGGACCGAACCGACUAAUGUUGAAAAAUUAGCGGAUGACUUGUGGCUGGGGGUGAAAGGCCAAUCAAACCGGGAGAUAGCUGGUUCUCCCCGAAAGCUAUUUAGGUAGCGCCUCGUGAAUUCAUCUCCGGGGGUAGAGCACUGUUUCGGCAAGGGGGUCAUCCCGACUUACCAACCCGAUGCAAACUGCGAAUACCGGAGAAUGUUAUCACGGGAGACACACGGCGGGUGCUAACGUCCGUCGUGAAGAGGGAAACAACCCAGACCGCCAGCUAAGGUCCCAAAGUCAUGGUUAAGUGGGAAACGAUGUGGGAAGGCCCAGACAGCCAGGAUGUUGGCUUAGAAGCAGCCAUCAUUUAAAGAAAGCGUAAUAGCUCACUGGUCGAGUCGGCCUGCGCGGAAGAUGUAACGGGGCUAAACCAUGCACCGAAGCUGCGGCAGCGACACUAUGUGUUGUUGGGUAGGGGAGCGUUCUGUAAGCCUGUGAAGGUGUACUGUGAGGUAUGCUGGAGGUAUCAGAAGUGCGAAUGCUGACAUAAGUAACGAUAAAGCGGGUGAAAAGCCCGCUCGCCGGAAGACCAAGGGUUCCUGUCCAACGUUAAUCGGGGCAGGGUGAGUCGACCCCUAAGGCGAGGCCGAAAGGCGUAGUCGAUGGGAAACAGGUUAAUAUUCCUGUACUUGGUGUUACUGCGAAGGGGGGACGGAGAAGGCUAUGUUGGCCGGGCGACGGUUGUCCCGGUUUAAGCGUGUAGGCUGGUUUUCCAGGCAAAUCCGGAAAAUCAAGGCUGAGGCGUGAUGACGAGGCACUACGGUGCUGAAGCAACAAAUGCCCUGCUUCCAGGAAAAGCCUCUAAGCAUCAGGUAACAUCAAAUCGUACCCCAAACCGACACAGGUGGUCAGGUAGAGAAUACCAAGGCGCUUGAGAGAACUCGGGUGAAGGAACUAGGCAAAAUGGUGCCGUAACUUCGGGAGAAGGCACGCUGAUAUGUAGGUGAAGUCCCUCGCGGAUGGAGCUGAAAUCAGUCGAAGAUACCAGCUGGCUGCAACUGUUUAUUAAAAACACAGCACUGUGCAAACACGAAAGUGGACGUAUACGGUGUGACGCCUGCCCGGUGCCGGAAGGUUAAUUGAUGGGGUUAGCGCAAGCGAAGCUCUUGAUCGAAGCCCCGGUAAACGGCGGCCGUAACUAUAACGGUCCUAAGGUAGCGAAAUUCCUUGUCGGGUAAGUUCCGACCUGCACGAAUGGCGUAAUGAUGGCCAGGCUGUCUCCACCCGAGACUCAGUGAAAUUGAACUCGCUGUGAAGAUGCAGUGUACCCGCGGCAAGACGGAAAGACCCCGUGAACCUUUACUAUAGCUUGACACUGAACAUUGAGCCUUGAUGUGUAGGAUAGGUGGGAGGCUUUGAAGUGUGGACGCCAGUCUGCAUGGAGCCGACCUUGAAAUACCACCCUUUAAUGUUUGAUGUUCUAACGUUGACCCGUAAUCCGGGUUGCGGACAGUGUCUGGUGGGUAGUUUGACUGGGGCGGUCUCCUCCUAAAGAGUAACGGAGGAGCACGAAGGUUGGCUAAUCCUGGUCGGACAUCAGGAGGUUAGUGCAAUGGCAUAAGCCAGCUUGACUGCGAGCGUGACGGCGCGAGCAGGUGCGAAAGCAGGUCAUAGUGAUCCGGUGGUUCUGAAUGGAAGGGCCAUCGCUCAACGGAUAAAAGGUACUCCGGGGAUAACAGGCUGAUACCGCCCAAGAGUUCAUAUCGACGGCGGUGUUUGGCACCUCGAUGUCGGCUCAUCACAUCCUGGGGCUGAAGUAGGUCCCAAGGGUAUGGCUGUUCGCCAUUUAAAGUGGUACGCGAGCUGGGUUUAGAACGUCGUGAGACAGUUCGGUCCCUAUCUGCCGUGGGCGCUGGAGAAUUGAGGGGGGCUGCUCCUAGUACGAGAGGACCGGAGUGGACGCAUCACUGGUGUUCGGGUUGUCAUGCCAAUGGCACUGCCCGGUAGCUAAAUGCGGAAGAGAUAAGUGCUGAAAGCAUCUAAGCACGAAACUUGCCCCGAGAUGAGUUCUCCCUGACUCCUUGAGAGUCCUGAAGGAACGUUGAAGACGACGACGUUGAUAGGCCGGGUGUGUAAGCGCAGCGAUGCGUUGAGCUAACCGGUACUAAUGAACCGUGAGGCUUAACCUUACAACGCCGAAG
rnacentral:rRNA from 1 species